GGCCCUUUAGCUCAGUUGGUUAGAGCGAACGACUCAUAAUCGUAAGGUCGCUGGUUCAAGUCCAGCAAGGGCCACCA
rnacentral:tRNA from 1 species